rnacentral:rRNA from 1 species
UAACAGGAAGGGAAACUUCUGAUAAUACUGGAUAAGUUAGUAUAUCGCAUUAUAUGCAAAUGAAAGCUACGGCACUAAAGGAGAGCUUUGCGUCCUAUUAGCUAGUUGGUAAGGUAAGAGCUUACCAAGGCGAUGAUAGGUAGCCGGCCUGAGAGGGUGGACGGCCACAAGGGGACUGAGAUACGGCCCUUACUCCUACGGGAGGCAGCAGGC